rnacentral:tRNA from 1 species
GAGGGUAUAGCACAGUGGUAGAGUGCAUGCUUAGCAUGCACAAGGUCCUGGGUUCAACUCCCAGUACUUCUG